rnacentral:rRNA from 1 species
AACGUAGGAGACAAACGUUAUCCGGAGUUACUGGGCGUAAAGGGCGUGUAGGUGGUUUCGUAAGUCUGGCGUGAAAUUUUUCGGCUUAACCGGGAAAGGUCGUCGGAUACUGCAGAACUAGAGGACGGUAGAGGCGUGUGGAAUUCCGGGUGUAGUGGUGAAAUGCGUAGAGAUCCGGAGGAACACCAGUGGCGGAAGGCGACACGCUGGGCCGUACCUGACACUGAUGCGCGACAGCAUGGGGAGCAAACGAGGAUU